rnacentral:rRNA from 1 species
AGUGAACGCUGGCGGUAGGCCUAACACAUGCAAGUCGAACGGCAGCACAGUAAGAGCUUGCUCUUACGGGUGGCGAGUGGCGGACGGGUGAGGAAUACAUCGGAAUCUACUUUUUCGUGGGGGAUAACGUAGGGAAACUUACGCUAAUACCGCAUACGACCUACGGGUGAAAGCAGGGGAUCUUCGGACCUUGCGCGAUUGAAUGAGCCGAUGUCGGAUUAGCUAGUUGGCGGGGUAAAGGCCCACCAAGGCGACGAUCCGUAGCUGGUCUGAGAGGAUGAUCAGCCACACUGGAACUUAGACACGGUCCAGACUCCUACGGGAGGCAGCAGUGGGGAAUAGUGGACAAUGGGCGCAAGCCUGAUCCAGCCAUACCGCGUGGGUGAAGAAGGCCUUCGGGUUGUAAAGCCCUUUUGUUGGGAAAGAAAAGCAGCAGGUUAAUACCCCGCUGUUCUGACGGUACCCAAAGAAUAAGCACCGGCUAACUUCGUG